rnacentral:lncRNA from 1 species
AGGCAGAGGGAGAAGCAGGCUGCCCUGUGGGACUUGAUCCGGGAACUCCAGGAUCACACCCUGAGUCAAAGGCAGACACUCAACCACUGAGCCACCCAGGCAUUCCUGAGAUUCUUGAUCAUGCCCUGAGUCAAAGGCAGAUAUGCUCAACUGCUGAGCCACCCAGGUGUCCUUUAAAAAAGCCUUUUCAAAAAAGAAAUCCCAUCUGUUUUUAUCCAAAAGCAGCAUUAUUGCAUUUUGAGUUAUGUGUUAUGUAUUACAGAUUCAAAUGGGACCCCUUUGAAGAAGAAAAUUCAUUUGGAAGAAUCAUUUAUCUCAUUUUUAGAAUGCUAGGUUUUUGUUGUUUAUACGUUUUUUUUUUCUAUGUCAUUUCAGGUGAUGAUAGUUGGAUUACAAAUGCUUUUUGCCCAGUUUCUGUUUCAAAAGCACCCCUAGGAUAUUGUGCUUCUCUCUCUCCUCUGUCAAGAGGUUCACUUAAUUCAUCUCACUACAUACACACCCAGUGGCAGAUAAUCUUACUGUCCCCAUUUUCCGGAUUAAGAAGGGUUUAUCUUUGUGAUGAUGAUUCAUCUCAUGAGAAUUUGAAUGCUGGUGGAAAAUUGUACAGAAAAUCCAGGUAA